CAAGAAGCCGAAAGGCUACUUAAAACCAUCGCGAACUUAUCCAAGUUGCUUCGGCGGCGCGGCUCCCCUCACGGGGGACCGCAGCCCCCGCCUCUCAGGAGGUAAGGGGCAGCCGCCGAAGGUACGAAACUCUGUAUUAUAGUGGUAUCUCUGAGUAUAAAACAAAUAAGUUA
rnacentral:misc_RNA from 1 species